ACAACCCACAGUGGCAUCACGCUACGUUGGUAUUUCCUAGGCCAUGGAAGGCCUGGCGCCAAAACGGCCAGAUUACCCGUCCACCAAUUAGGUGUGAAUUUUAUCCGUAAGCGAAUUCCCCGGGGAUCCCAAGUUAAAUAAAGAUGGGGCCCCCAAGCGUGUAAUGGGUUUAUCGACCAGAAAACUUCUCUUUCCAGCCGGACCUUUAGAGGGGGGUCCAAAGGAUCGGCCCAGGGCAGCGUCUCAGCUCUUCGGAGAUGUUGGUUAUCCCGCAACGAGCCCCCUUUUCUAAUCCAUCAUUGUUGGCCUUUAGGUCCGGUGCAACCGGAGAAGGGGGGAGCGUCAUCCUCAUGGCCCUUAUGGGUAGGGUUCCCGUCAUCAAUGUCGGUCAGAGGGUUGCCAACCGAGGGGAGCCAAUCCCAGAAACCGAUCUAGUCCGGAUCGGAGUCUGCAACUCGCUCCGUGAAGUCGGAAUCGUAGUAAUCGCGGAUCACAUCCGCGGUGAUCGUUCCCGGGUUUGUACCCGCCCUAAUCACUAGUGAAUUCGCGGCCGCAUGCAGUCGACCAUUGGGAGACUCCCACGCGUUGGUGCAUACAUGAGUAUUCAUAGUCACAUGC
rnacentral:rRNA from 1 species